GGAUUGUAGUCUGCAACCCGGCUACAUGAAGCUGGAAUCGCUAGUAAUCGCAGAUCAGAAUGCUGCGGUGAAUACGUUCCCGGGUCUUGUACACACCGCCCGUCACACCAUGGGAGUCGGAAAUGCCCGAAGUCGGUGACCCAACCGUUUACGGAGGGAGCUGCCGAAGGCAGGUCUGGUGACUGGGGUGAAGUCGUAACAAGGUAAC
rnacentral:rRNA from 1 species